CAACACUGUUCCUCUAGCCUAGGUGAUAGAAUAUUCAAUAAAUCAAUGGGGAAAAUAAGUUAUAUGAAAAAAAAAACAUUUUUAAACGAUGCUGUUAUUAAAUCCCUUGUGUGCCGUGUUUCCAGUUCACGCGCGCGCAAACACACACACACACACAUACGCCCGCCUUAACCACUUACAAGCAAGGUUCUAGAAGCAGGACGGUGGAAUUCUGGGAUGAAGAAGAAGAAUUUGCUACCUGUUUUGGAAGAACUAGCAGAGUGAGGUAACAACGAGGGCACAGUGUCCUGUUUUACAGAUACUUGCUCAGCCACAUUCAUCACUGCUCUGUUCAUAACAGUUGGAAAUUGGAAACAACCUAAAUGCUUUCUCUCUCUGAUUUGUGGAUUCUAGAUCUGAAUCUUAAGAGGUGAGUGUAGAACCUGAAGUUAACACAGAAACCAUGAAGGUUAAAGGAGAGAAUGGGGAAGGGGUAAAAUGAGCUAUAAAGCAAGGUGAAGAGAACGAAUUGGGCAAUUAGAAAACUGAAGAGGCUUUAUCUAGCAGGAGGGAGGGCAAUCCAGAUGAAAAGGGAGGGAAGGGGGAUAAAGAGAACUAAAAGUCAUUGAAAAAGCCACAGCCAUUACAGAAACAUUAUUUUAGGUUUGCUUAAAAUAAAUAUGUAAUAUAAUUAAUAUAUGUAAAUGAAAAUGUAAUGAAGUUACAGCAAGUGUAGUGACAAUGCUCCCUCCAAUCCAGACUGCUUAACAAAAAUCUCUGGUGUCAGAUAUUGGGACACUUCCCUUCAAGUUGUUGCUCAGGGGAGUUCAAGGGACUCCCCAAACAAUAAAAAGAUGUGGAAGGUUAUAACUUGAAGACAAAAUUAGAAGCAGACCAGCUUGAAGGGGGUAGAUGAUACAACACUGACAGUUGCAGAAUGAAUAAUGCCCUCUAGAACAAUUUGAUAUGGAGUAUAAAGGAGAAUUAGGGUCCUAGUGUGAACCACAGGCUUUCCAGCAAAACUGGGAGGAGGGUGCUGUUACUGACUUAGAAGACACAGGAGGAAAGCUGAGUGCCAUUUGAGGAGCUUAGUUGGAAUAUCUUUUUUUUGUUUGUUUUUUUGUUUUUUUGAGACAGGGUUUGUCUGUACAGCCCUGUCUGUCCUGGAACUCACUUUGUAGACCAGGCUGUGAUCAGAAUAUAGGAUGGAUUGUCCAUGUGGAUGUUGGAUGUUAGCAAAUGCUCAAUACACAAGAAUAACAUAAAGGGGCAGACUGAAGCUGAUAACCCAAUUGCUACAUUACAAGUAAACAUGAGUAAACUCAAGAGACUCAACAAGCCUUUUAUUUCAGGAAGCAACCAAGCUGUUCAAAGAUUGGAGAGAAGAAAGGUGCAGAAGUAAAUGGCACUUUAUGAAGAUUCAGUGGACUUCAGGGAAGACAUUAUGAUGAGGUGUAUUGACUGCCCAACCCAUGAAAAAUGAAAAAGAAAAUGUUCUCCCACGGAAAGAAGGUUUUUGUUUUGUUUUGUUUUGUUUUGUUUUGUUUUGUUUUGUUUGUGGAAUAAAGGUUGAAGCCAAAGAGAUUGGUACUGAGUCUGGAAACCAUGGCAGCAGCAGGAAGUUCCGGCUGUUUUAAAGUCGCGGUUCCGGUGUUCAGGAUGCCAGGGAUGAUGGGAAGCCUGUUCUUGUUUAUCGGUUUGUACGGAACUUCACCCGCGGUAGAGUACGGCCUGAGAAUUUUGUUCCAGCACCGGUGUGAGACAUCCAUCCAUCCUUUCAUUCAGGAAAACAUCUGAGCCCAUGAAUUGCCAGACCCUGGAUACCUGAGACACAUCCACUUGCUUCUCAGAUUGGACAUCUGUGGGCUUCCCUUUGCUAUGACGGGUUUGGAGUGCAUAAUGAGGAGAAAUAAAAACAGAAAGAUCUCCAGAAAGAAGCCAUGGUAAGAUUCAAGGUUUCACAGUCCAAGCUAAUGCCUGUGGACACUUGACCAAGUGAUCUGAGAAAAUUGGAUUUCUGGCAAAACAAGUGUACCUAGACUCAGGCAAGGUAAGUGUCCAGGUAGGCAGGGAAACAUGAGCUGCGGUUGCAGGGGGGAGUUGAGAAUGGUAAAUGGAUUGGCACAUUGCUGUAAUGUAAGGACAGUGUGGACAUUUUUCUGCAUUUCCUGCUUAAAGACACUUUACUACUUGACUUCAGUUGGAAUAUUAAGGGCACCCCAGCAAGCUGUUUGUGUCGCAGACAAUGGCAUUUUUUUGUCCCAUUGUGUUGGAUGGCAGCUUGUAGUUGGCUAGGAUGCAGUUCUUUCUGUAGUCAGCACCUUCCUCUUUUCCAGAUACAGGCUGUAGAGUAAUUUGUCUUCUUUGUUGUAAAUACUAAGAUUUAGGACUAUAUUUUGCAUAUAAUGUAGGUACAUUUUUUUGAGGACAGACAUUUCUUAUAGUUGGGAAAAGCUGCUUAGAGGAAGUAAGAUGUCAUGCCACGGUGUGUUUUGAGCCAUAAUCAUUACUGACUGCUUGCAUCCAUUUGUAAUUUAGCAAACACUAACCCCUGCUAAGGGCUUCCUCCGUAUUCCCACAUUCAAAUGACCUGGACAGACUGAUAGCUGAACUCCUUAAAUAUAAGAAACCAAAGCAGUUUAACAACAGGGUGGAGAACAGAGGGCGACUAGAUUAAAUGGAAAGAAUGCCCAGGCAUCCCAUUGCCUCCCUUUGACGUUCCAGAACUUCAUCAAGACAGUGAUGAGCUACAUGUACACCUGGAGGAGAUUGGUUGAUGUAGAAACAGCACUCUUCUUGGAAGAACAGGCAAAGACCACCUUCUUUAGCUGUCAGGACAUCCAGCCCCCGUCGGUUCUAAAGCACCAUGGCUGCCAAUGAAUCGAUCUGCUUCUGGAUAAUAAGCACAGUUUUAGUCAUUUCUUGAAGAUUGCUUUUAAACUGGGAAGUGAAUGUAUUAUAUUGGGUCAUAGAAGUUGUUACCCCUGCAGUUCCAAUACCAGCACCUAUGGCUAUUCCCGUAGCGACCAAGAGUGGCAUGACCUGAACUGGGACCAUGCAGAAUACCAUCCAGCGCCAUGAACACUAGUCAGUCAGUCAGUAAUGGUGGGCUUCUUGGUGUGCUCCAGCUCAAUUUUCUCAUGUUUGAUGAUGAGUUCAGGAUCAAGCUCAGAAGCGCACAGCUGCCAGCAAGCAGUCUACUACUGAACUGCACCAUCUCUCCAGCCUGUGCUUACUCUUGAAUAGCCCCAAAGUAGUCAAUGGUAUGGCAAAAUAAACCUCCAUUUCAUUUAGAUUUUUAUAGUAUUUUUUGCCACUUAAAUUAUUUUAUGUAGUUGAGUAUGAUUUUUUUUCCCCCUAAGGAAUUCUAUGUAUCUCAAUUUCAAGAGUCUUCAGCCUUUAUGUUAUACAUAAUUUCCUAUAGAUUUCAAAGUUGCUUUAAUAAAAAGUUUAAUGUUAAAACAGUUGUGGAUUUACAUGUAGUUAUGUGACUACAUUAUCCUUUACCUUUUUUCUCUAAUGAAAUUAUCUUCCAAAAAUAUAUCACAAGCAGAGAAUGGACAUUAAUAUAAUAGAUUAAUCUGAUUCCUGUUUUUUUCCUAGAUAUAGGUACACUCAUAUAUGUGUAUGAGUUUAAUUUUAUGUAAUUUUAUUACGUGUAGGUUUGUGAAUCCAUGACCAUCAUAUUUGGGAUACAGAAUGUUUAGUACCACAAAGAUUCCUUAAAUGUUGUCCUUUUAUAAUCAUACCACCUCUACCUCCUUAUACUCCAUGCCUCUCCUUAGCACUUAAAGAACAUAAAUCUCUCAUAUAUCUCUCUAAUUUUGUACUAUCAAAAAUGUUACAUUACUACCUCUGGUCCACACCCCACAGCUGCCCAGCAUGGUCCCUCAAGCCUGAACCCAGCUUACUUUGCCUUUGGUUGCUCAUGUCACAACCAUUCCAUUCCUUUGCUUCAAGGUGUGGGCCCUGAAAGGAACUGUAUACCUGCUCUGCCCAUGACUGCUUCUGCCUCUACCUCAAUGUACUGUAACUGUUUAACAAGGUUGCUCUGGCUCAGGCUGAGAAAUUGACUCCACCCUUACCCUGACGCCUGGCAUGUCCACAUGUGGUCCUGUGUAGUCAGCAACCCCAGGUAUGGUAAGGAACCUUCCCAUCCCAAGUCCUCAGCCAUUGACCUCUGGCCUCAACCCAAACUCGGUCAGAGACCUUGUCUUUACCCGGAGCCGAGACCCCUUAGCAUGGGUUCUGCCACCUCAGAGGUCUCCCCAAGCUCUAUCGCCUACAAUCCAACUUUGCAUUCUGACCUGGUGGGUAAAAAACCCAUACCAAAAUACAGCUGACAAUGUAAAUCCAGAUGCCCAGGUUACAGCACAAAAACUAGAUAAACUAAACCAAUAUCUAAUUGUUCUCUAAAUCACCAAUCUCAUAAUAAUGUUCCCUAAAGAGAACAAGUUACAAGAAAUUAAAGACACGGAAUUCCAAAGGACAAUACAUGUUCAACAAGCUCAAACCAUUCAGAGAGGGCACAGAAUGAAAUUAAAGACAACAGGAAUAAAAUUCUGGGAGUCCAAGUAUACAAAAACACAGCUCAGCAACACAUGGAACAGCAAGACUGUAAAUUCUCAGUCCAGCUAUGGAUAAUUUAGGAUCCUUUGUAGGUGAGUCAGUCGGUUGGUUGUGGGUCAUAGGUGGUGGUUGUGUCACUUACAUUGCUCUGUCGUUUUAUACAUUUGUUGAAGUGGAUUCCUUUUGACUUUCCUCCUCUUCUGAGCCUAUUAUAUUCUAUUUGCUGCCUAGAGGACCAUUUGGAUGAAGCUGAGCUUAGGGAACUGGUGAAACCUAGUGAUAAUUAUUGAAUGGGUUGCUGAAAUCUCAUCUUGGCUAUGUGUCAACAGGACCAAAACCUUAGUCUUUCCUUAGAUUAUAUGAACAUGCUGGAAAUGGGCUAUCAAAUUUCAGACCUAGUAAAGUCUGUCUACUAUCUGGAGCUUAGAAAAUCUUAAUGAAAUGGAUAUUUUUCUAGAUACCACUUACCAAAGUUAAAUCAACAAAUAUUUAAAUAGUCCCAUAACCCCUAAAGAAAUAGAAGCAGUCAUUUAAACUCUCCCAACCAAAAACAAAACAAAACAAAACAAAACAAAACAGGGACAGAUGGUUUUAGUACAAAAUUCUACUAGACUUUCAAAGAAGAACUAAUUAAUGCUAAUUUUUAGUUGCAUUUUAAAAAUAAUAAUAAAGCAUAUUCUUUUAAGGUCUAUAAAGAAUAGGGGCUCACAGAGACUAAACUGCCCACUAGGGAGCCUGCAUGGGCCUAACCCAGGCUUCCUGCACCUACCUUAUGGUUGCAUAGUUGGUGUUCUUGUGGGACUCCUAACAGUGGGAGCAAGGGCUGUCUCUGACUCUGUUGCCCACCUUUGGGACCCUUUCCUCCUACUGAGUUGUCUUGUCUAGCCUUAAUAGGAGAUGCACUUAGUCUUACUGCAACCUGAUAUGCAAUGGCUGGUUGAUAUCCAUCAAGGCUGGCUAUUUUCUGAAGAGAAAUGGAGAAGGAGUUGAUGGCAGGAGGAGUGAGAUUAAGGAGAGGAGGGAGGGGAAACUGGAGUCAGGAUAUAAAAUAAAUAAACAAAAUGACAAUAAGUCUUAUAUUUUAAAAUACUAAAAUUAAAUUUUCAAGAUCUCAAAUAAUUUUACUGUAUACCUUUGGAAAAAUAAGGCUAAUCCAAACCCCAAGACACUAGAUGGGGAGAAAUAAUUAAGAGCAAGGAAGAAAUUAAUGAAAUAGAAAUGAAAAAAUACAAAGAAUCAGUGAAGACUUGGUUCUUUGAAAAGAUAAAUAAGAUUGACAAACCUCUAGCCAAACCAAAAACAAGAGAAAGAAGACCCAAACUAAGACAAUUGGAGUCAGAAGGGAGACAUUACACAGGCUGAGAUGGUUCUAUUUAGAAACAUACAUGUAUAUAGAGUAUGAGUGUUAACAGUUAAUUUUUUUUAUUAGAUAUUUUCUUUAUUUACAUUUCAAAUGUUAUUCCCUUUCCUGGUUUCCCCUCCGAAAAUCUGCUAUCCUCUCCCUGCCCUGCUCCCCAACUCAUCCACUCCUGCUUCCUGGCCCUGGCAUUCCUCUAUACUGGGGCAUAGAGUCUUCACAGGACCAAGGCCUCUCCUCCCAUUGAUGACCAACUAGACCAUCCCCUGCUACAUAUGCAGCUAGAGCCAUGAUUCCCUCCAUGUGUACUCUUUGAUUGGUGGUUUAGUCCCAGGGAGCUCUAGGGUUACUGGUUAGUUCUUAUUGAACAACAGUUAAUUUAGAAGAGGCCAUGAAUUUAAAAGAAAGUAAGGAGGGAUAGAGUUCUGUAGAGUUUGAUGGUAGGAAAAGGAAGGAGGAAAUGAUACAAUUAUCAAAAAAAAUUGGGCUAUUUGGUACUGGACAACCAAUUGGAGUGUUGUUUGCGGGGGAGGACCACCUCUCCAGGUAGAAUCUAAACAUCAGAAAAUCAACAACCCAGUUAAAAUAAUCUAGAGCACUAACCAGAGCGUUCUCAGAAGAAGCACUACAAACGGCUAAGAAACACGAGACUGCUCAACAUCCUUUGCCAUCAGGGAAACACAGAAGCUCACUUUUCAGUUUUCAUCUUUCUGGAGUCAGAAUGGUUAUCGUCAAGAAUGCCAGUGACAUGGAUGUAGAGGACGGAUUCCUUCAUUGUCUAAGUCUCUGGAAAUAGUGCAGAAGAGUAGUCAGGGACUAAAAGAUGGAAGACAGAAAGGGCUGCAAAGUUCCAUCCUAGAGACUCAAUACAGCCAUUGCAAUGAUGAACUCACAAAAACUGCAUUUACCUGAACUUAGCCUGCUCAAGACAUUGAAAGUGUUUCAAAGUAGCUUUUCCUGUUGUGAAUGUACCUCUCAGCUAGUCUGGUUUCUGGUUCAGAGCUCUUAGGCACAGAGUUGUCUUGAACAUUUGCUUACAGGCACUUGUGUAGAUAUCAGCUGCUUUUUUUUGUUAAAUCUCUGAAAUAAAUGCCUAGGCGUUCAAUGGCAAUGUUAUAUCAGUAUGUAUUUAGCUUAGUUUUAAAAUAAGAAACUGUCAAAUACUUUUGUAGAAUUACUGGACCAUUUUACACCCCUGCCAACAAAGUAAGAUUGAUCCAGCUCCCCACAUUCUCAUAAACAUUUGUUUUUGUUUCUUUAAGAAGACAAGUUAACCAUUCCAUUUAUUGAGAAUUUACUUACCAUUCAGUGCAUUGCUUAGAUAUGUAGUAUUCAGUUUUUAGUACACAUACAAGGUUGUGUAUCGAUUACUACUAAUUCCAGAACAUUUCCAUUACCAUAGAAAAAGAAACCCAAUAUUCAUUUUCAUCUCUCCUCUAUGGACUUACCUAAUCUAGAUAUACCAAAUAAAUGGAAUUUUUAUAAAAUAUGACCUUUUGUUUGGCUUCUUUCAUUUAGAAUAGAAUUUCAAGGUUUCUCCAUGUUCUACCAGCCUUCAAAUUAAUUUCAGUUGUUGUGCUUUCAGGUUUCAGAAUUUCUUUUCAUUUUCUGUUUAUAAUUUCAAAAUUAUUGUUUAAUAUCUAUUUAAUAAAACAGGUGUUUUGAAAUAUAUUUUAUUAGUUCUUUGAGUAUUUAAUAUAUACUUUGGUCAUUUUCACCCCCUUCCAUAAACUCCUUUUAAUUAUUUGCCAGCAGCUUCUCUGUUGGGGUGUAUCCACCUUCCCUUCCCAUGCAGAGCUCUAGUCUAGCUUAGGCUUGCACAGGUCUUUUGCUGUCACAACCACUGUGAGUUCAUAUACAUAACUAAGUGAACAUAAUGUUAACCUGACAUUUAUACUCAUAUUUUAAUAAACCUGUCCACGUUCACUAGAGCAGCUUCUCUUUUUAGUAGUUAGUAGCACAGAGACCCACAACUGACUAUGGUGUGGAGAAAAAGACUGGGAAUCUCUUAUUCUAGUCUUUUCUAGAUCAAAUCCAUUAUAGUAAGGUAAUAUAUUCCAUAUGAUUUCCAUUGUUUUAUAAUUGGUAGAAUUUGUUUUAUGGCCCAAGAAGCAAUCUAGGCUCCUGUUUUUGAUACACAUAUUUCCAUUCAUCUGAAUUCUCUAUGCAUUAAUUUAAGAACUAAUUAUUUGCACAAGAAUUCCCCAUUCAUUAUUUCCACUUUACUUCAGUAGCUAUAGUCAGAGUCUAAAGGAACGGUAAGUUUCUUAAAUUUCUUCUGCUUUGUGUGUGUUUGAGGAUGCGCGUGGAAUGUGAAUUUCAGGACAAGAGACAGCAUUUCUUAGCUGUAAUUUAUAUAAUUGCCUGCAGGUGGUAGCAAAGCAACACAAAAAAAUAUCAACUCCUUUUCCUUCAUCCUUUGUUUCAGUUUGGGAUGUGUGUGUGUGUGUGUGUGUGUGUGUGUGUGCUUGUUUGUUGUGGUUUUGUUUUUGAUACAGGGUUUCUCUGUGUAGUCCUGGCUGUCCUGGACUAGCAUUGUAGAUGAGGCAGGCCUCCAACUCACAGAGAUCCACCUGCCUCUGCCUCAAGCACUGGGAUUAAAGGUGUGUGCCACCUUGCCCUGGCCAUCAUUUGUGUUUUAAAGAAACAAAAAUGAGUGUUUUUUGCUGCCUUGAAAGCUGGUAAACUUGCUUGGAAAAUAUCCCUUUUAAAUAUGUUUGCUAAUUUUGGAAAUGAAAAAGAUUUAUUAUUUGUAAGUGCCAUUUACCAAUGGUAGGCUAAGUUUACAUUUGCAUGUUUUUAUUGGCUAUUUUCCCCUCUAAUUUAUCUAUUUGUUUUUAUUGUUAAUUUUCCUGUUCAAGGUUAAGAGGAAAACUCUGCUUUUUCUAUCUUACCGUUAUUAAAGUAAUACAUCUCAUUAUGGAAAAUUAAAAAUACCAGAAUCACUCUAAAAAGAAAAAAAAACCCUACAUAGUACCAUUAUUACCAUCUUAAUACAUUUUACUCAUUCCUAUAUUAUUAAUGUGUUGGUGGGAUAUUGUGAGCUUAGAUUAUUUUGUCCAGUUUAUUUCCAAAUUUCUAAAUAAAAUUGAUCGUGACC
rnacentral:lncRNA from 1 species